rnacentral:rRNA from 1 species
UGGGGAAUAUUGGACAAUGGGCGAAAGCCUGAUCCAGCCAUGCCGCGUGUGUGAAGAAGGUCUUCGGAUUGUAAAGCACUUUAAGUUGGGAGGAAGGGCAGUAAGCGAAUACCUUGCUGUUUUGACGUUACCGACAGAAUAAGCACCGGCUAACUCUGUGCCAGCAGCCGCGGUAAUACAGAGGGUGCAAGCGUUAAUCGGAAUUACUGGGCGUAAAGCGCGCGUAGGUGGUUCGUUAAGUUGAAUGUGAAAGCCCCGGGCUCAACCUGGGAACAGCAUCAACAACGGGCGGGCUAGAGUAAGGCAGAGGGUGGUGGAAUUGCCUGGGUAGCGGUGAAAUGCGUAGAUAGAGGAAGGAACACCAGUGGCGAAGGCGACCACCUGGGCUCAUACUGACACUGAGGUGCGAAAGAGUGGGGAGCAAACAGG